rnacentral:rRNA from 1 species
UCCGGUUGAUCCUGCCGGACCUGACUGCUAUCGGAUUGGUACUAAGCCAUGCGAGUCAUUGUAGCAAUACAAGGCGGACGGCUCAGUAACACGUAGUCAACCUAACUCGUGGACGUGGAUAACCUCGGGAAACUGAGAAUAAACCACGAUAGAUCAUAGUGCCUGGAAUGGCUUAUGGUCCAAACAGUUUACUGCCAUGGGAUGGGACUGCGGCCUAUCAGCUUGUUGGUGAGGUAAUGGCCCACCAAGGCGAUUACAGGUACGGGCUCUGAGAGGAGAAGCCCGGAGAUGGGUACUGAGACACGGACCCAGGCCCUAUGGGGCGCAGCAGGCGAGAAACCUUAGCAAUGUGCGAAAGCACGACUGGGUCAGUCCGAGUGAUUCCUGAUAAAGGAGUCUUUUGCCUGUCCUAAAAGCACAGGUGAAUAAGGGGUGGGCAAGUCUGGUGUCAGCCGCCGCGGUAAUACCAGCACCUCGAGUGGUCAGGACGUUUAUUGGGCCUAAAGCAUCCGUAGCCGGCUCUGCAAGUCUUCGGUUAAAUCCACCUGCUCAACAGAUGGGCCGCUGGAGAUACUACAGAGCUAGGGAGUGGGAGAGGCAGACGGUAUUCAGUGGGUAGGGGUAAAAUCCUCUGAUCCAUUGAGGACCACCAGUGGCGAANGCGGUCUGCCAGAACACGUUCGACGGUGAGGGAUGAAAGCUGGGGGAGCAAACCGGAUUAGAUACCCGGGUAGUCCCAGCUGUAAACGAUGCAAACUCGGUGAUGCAUUGGCUUAUGGCCAAUGCAGUGCCGCAGGGAAGCCGUUUAAGUUUGCCGCCUGGGAAGUACGGACGCAAGUCUGAAACUUAAAGGAAUUGGCGGGGGAGCACAA